AACCUUGCUCAGUGGCAAUAUCGUAACCAAUGAAGGCCUCUUGAGGUGCGAUUAUUGCUAGUUGAAAACUUUUAAAGGCGCCACGGUAGCCGAGCGGUUAGAGGCGAGACCAGUAAAACUAAUAUGUAUUGUGGUAAUGGAUUCGAAUCC
rnacentral:snRNA from 1 species